rnacentral:rRNA from 1 species
AGAGGAAGGAGAAGUCGUAACAAGGUUUCCGUAGGUGAACCUGCGGAAGGAUCAUUGUCGAAACCUGACCAAGGAGAUCGACCCGAGAACAAGUAUCGUGAUGCGGAAACCGGCGGGCCUAUACAGACUGUCGUUUUCCGAAGCUCGUGGAGGCGCGGGAGAAUCCCUAGGUUUGCCUAGCGGGGCCCCUCGUGCUGCAAGCGGGCACAACAAACCCCCGGCGUGUUAAGCGUCAAGGAAUUGCAAAGCAAGCGAACGCGCCAUCCGUGCCCCGUUCUCGGGGUGCGGCGGCUGCGAUGCUGUCUUCGAAUGAGACAAACGACUCUCGGCAACGGAUAUCUCGGCUCUCGCAUCGAUGAAGAACGUAGCGAAAUGCGAUACUUGGUGUGAAUUGCAGAAUCCCGUGAACCAUCGAGUCUUUGAACGCAAGUUGCGCCCGAAGCCGUCAGGCCAAGGGCACGUCUGCCUGGGUGUCACGCAUCGUCGCCCCAUCCAGCUCCUCUCAGAAACGGGAGGGGCGGGGUCGGACAUUGGCCUCCCGUGUGCGUACUGUAUGCGGCUGGCCAAAAUCCGGGGACCGGACGUUUAGUUUCCGACCAGCGGUGGUUGAACCUCAUGCUCGUGUCGGAUGCCUGCCGUCCAAGUGUCCCUACGGCUCUUCCGAGGCACCUCGGUGCCCUCUCUAAACGAGACCCCAGGUCAGGCGGGAUCACCCGCUGAGUUU